rnacentral:rRNA from 1 species
UACGAGGGGGGCUAGCGUUGUUCGGAAUUACUGGGCGUAAAGAGCACGUAGGCGGAUUAGUAAGUCAGGGGUGAAAUCCCGGGGCUCAACCUCGGAACUGCCUUUGAUACUGCUGAUCUCGAGUCCGGAAGAGGUGAGUGGAAUUCCUAGUGUAGAGGUGAAAUUCGUAGAAAUUAGGAAGAACACCAGUGGCGAAGGCGGCUCACUGGUCCGGUACUGACGAUGAGGUGCGAAAGCGUGGGGAGCAAACAGG